rnacentral:lncRNA from 1 species
AGGGCGAAAAAGAAUGGGUCAUCUUUGUCUAUUUAUAACUGAUUGAGAGAAGACAAACAUGUUCUUAAAGCGGUCGGUUCACCGGAUUCACAACCUUCCCCUAUUGGCCGGUUGCCCGUGAAGCACAUACGGUCCUAUCGCAUUUAUCGAUCGAGAAUGGUCUCAUCACAUAAACACUUUCUAUAUGUUAUUUCGAGAUUCGAAGAAGCAAGCAAGUUUAUAGGGC